GUGCCCGCUUCGGCAGCACAUAUACUAAAAUUGGAACAAUACAGAGAAGAUAAGCAUGACCCCUGUGCAAGGAUGACACGCAAAUUCAUGAAGCGUUCCAUAUUUUU
rnacentral:snRNA from 1 species